rnacentral:lncRNA from 1 species
UUUUGCUCUCCUCCAUAGCUGGGGUUUCUUCAACUUUCAAACUUCAUAGUAAGUGAUUUCAAGCCCCGUUUUAAAUGAUUUUUAUGUUUUUGAAAUCCCGGUAGCUCGAUUUAGCUUAUGUUAACAAUAAUUCAACCUAUGGUUCAUAUUUGGAAAAAUACCCAUAGGUGAAAUUUGUGUAUUUUGGUGUUUUAUGACAGAAUAUGAGGUUUUAAAUUUUGUUAGACAACUUGUGCUACUUGGUUUUGAGUAAAAACGAGUAAAAAAGCUUAAUCGGUAAAAAUAUUUAGUAGUCAUAAAUACAUGUUAGAGUGAGAAUUUGAUGUUGCCAUAGAAGGGAAAAAUGAUCAGAAUGUCAUAAAACAUAAUAAUAAGGGAUGAAGUUUAAUUCCCGAGCCUAGGGGAAAAAGUGUAAUUAUGCAAAAGUUUAGGGGCAAAAUGGUAAUUUUUCCAAAGUUCUUAUUAAAGACUGUUUUAAUGAAUGUAUGUAUUAAAUAAGAUUAAUUUGGUAUUAUAGAUCAAGAGAAACGAGAUUCAAGUCGUGAUCGAGGGAAAAACAAAGUUUACGAGGAAUAGGCUCGAUUGUUAAAAAUUUUGUACCGAGGUAAGUUCAUGUGUAAAUAAGGUAGCAUAAUUGUUAUUUUUAAGUUAUUGAUGUUAAAUAUAUGAUAUGCUGAUUUUUAUCAUGAAAUAUAUGCUUUGUGGUUAUUUUCGAAUAAAAUGCAAAUUAAGUGUAUUAUUUGUUAAAUAUAAAGUGCUACCGAGUAUUGGUUUCGGUAUUUUACGGAAGAUGGCAAGGAGAUGUGUUCGAGGAAAAUCCCGUUUGAACCUUAGGAAUAGAUUAGGAUACAAGUGACAUGUCACUAGGAUGGUUGAACAUCCGAACUCGUUGAGUUGAGUCUGAGUUCACUUAUGGAUGUGCAAUGUCCGAACUCGUUGAGUUGAGUCCGAGUUCGUGAGAUGUAACCAGGCAUUCGAACUCGUUGAGUUGAGUCCGAGUUCACUUAUAGAUUCGAACGCCCGAGCUCGUUGAGUUGAGUCCGAGUUCACUUAUGGGCGGGUUACAUGGUAGCUUGGCUACAAAUGUGGCACUUAUGUGCAAAUUAUCCAUGUAUCCGAGUUAUAUUCCGAUGUGUUCAACGGGUAAAAUUUCUAGUGAAAUGGAAGAACACUUAAGAUGCAGGUGACGUAUUGGUAAGUAUUUUGAAAUGGACACUUUGGACAGGUAUGUACUUAACCUUCGGGUUGAAAAUAGAUACAACAACGAUAAAGUGGUAAGAUGAUUAAUGAUGUUUAGAAAUGUGAUAUAUGUUUUGGUGAUACCAUGCUAAGGUUGUUUGGUAUAAUUGUAUUGUUAUGUUACUUGUUAUUUGCAUAUGACUUACUAAGCAUUUAUGCUUACUCCUUCCUUUUCAUUCACUGUAGUUUUGAACAAGCCGGCUUAGGAAUCGGGACAGGUCGAAGGUUUGAUCACACUAUCCGAAGGACUCUUUUUGGUAAAUGGCUUGUAAAACUUAAGUAUGGCAUGUAUAGCAAUGCACCUAUUUUGUGUAAAUAAUUUUGUGAUAUGGCCAUGAUUUGGUUGAGAA